rnacentral:rRNA from 1 species
UACGUAGGCAGCAAGCGUUGUUCGGAAUUACUGGGCGUAAAGAGUGUGUAGGCGGUGCUCUAAGUUCGUUGUGAAAUCUCCCGGCUUAACUGGGAGGGUGAGGCGGAAACUGGAGUGCUUGAGCGCGGGAGAGGAAAGCGGAAUUCCUGGUGUAGCGGUGAAAUGCGUAGAUAUCAGGAGGAACACCUGUGGUGUAGACGGCUUUCUGGACCGUAGCUGACGCUGAGACACGAAAGCGUGGGUAGCAAACAGG